AUAUAUAUACUGCUUAAUUACUAAUAUCUUUUGGAUCGAACACUAUUUCACCUGCUGGCACCUACCACGAUCAUCUUAACCCUACAUCUUUCCAUCCAAUAACUAAAAACUCAAAAACACCACCCUUUCGUGCUUUUGAGAGUAUUCUAGCUCAUCUCUCUCUCUCUCUCUCUCUCUCUCUCUAUAUAUAUAUAUAUAUAUAUAAUUAAUUAAGCUAGAAUACUUUUAGAAGCACCACCUUCUUGGUGCUUCAAAGUUUUUAGCUCUUGGAUCCAUUCCUUGAUUAUUAAUAGCCUCUGGAUCAAACACUAUUCCGCCUAUCACCAUAAUCCCAAUCCUAUAUAUAUUUUUCCAUCCAAAGACUAAAAGCUGAAAAGCACUAUCUCUUUGGUGCUUUUAGAAGUAUUCUAGCUCAACUCUCUCUCUAUAUAUAUAUAUAUAAAACUA
rnacentral:lncRNA from 1 species